rnacentral:rRNA from 1 species
AGUGAAAGCUGGCGGCGUGCCUAAUACAUGCAAGUCGAACGGAGUGGCGCACGGGUGAGUAAUAUAUAGCUAAUCUGCCCCUUGCUGGAGGACAACAGUUAGAAAUGACUGCUAAUACUCCAUAGCAAGGGAUGAGACUAUAUCGUAUCAGCUCGUAGGUGGGGUAACGGCCUACCGAGGCUAUGACGCGUAACUGGUCUGAGAGGCUGAUCAGUUACAUUGGAACUGAGACACGGUCCAACCUCCUACGGCAGUCAGCAGUAGUGAAUAUUGCGCAAUGGGGGAAAUCCUGACGCAGCAACGGCGCGUGGAGGAUGACACUUUUCUGAGCGUAAACUCCUUUUGUUAGGGAAGCGGUACCUAACGAAUAAGCACCGGCUAACUCCGUGCCAGCAGCCGCGGUAAUUC